rnacentral:lncRNA from 1 species
GAGUCAGUCAUCUGCAAGAUAUGAAGAUGGAGAACAUUUGUACCCAACACAAACAACAUCCUUUCAUUCUUAUCCAUGUAAUAAUUUCACUUUAAGCGGCCAAGGAGGGAAAGGCUUGCUAAAAGAGAGGAACAAGAAGCCAAUAGUCCAUGGGGGAACAGAGACUGAAUCCUGGCAGAAAAGACUUGCUGAACCCCCUCUGGUGAAUGGCACCAUGAUGCCAGGUCAACUUUACCAGAUGAUGAAGCCCUUGACAGAUCCUCUUUAUUUUUGGGCACUAAUGGCCAUAAUGAUGACCUGAGUCCCAAUACUGUGAUUCAGAAUAAACCUCAAGAGUAAUGGCCUGUCUGACAGAAGCAUUCAUCACCUUGGGUCAGCAGAAGAGACCACUGCUCUGGUGGAUAAGCAGGCCUUGGACAAGGACCAAGUCACCAAAUGCCUUUAGUUAAUAGGUAGUACUGUGAGUGGUCAUUCAGUUUUCCAUUAUUUGCUGGUGAACUGGUAACUUGCUAACUGAAUUAUGGGUUUGGUUGUUUUCAUGCUCAGCAUUUUUUUUCACCAAAAGACAAAGGACCUAAUGACAUGGAGUCAAGGAGAUGCAAACUUAUAAAACGUG